rnacentral:lncRNA from 1 species
GCCCAAUCCCGUUUUCCCUCUGUUCUUCCUUCCCGACUCUCUUCUUUUCUUUCCCAUAUUCUAACAACACUAAAAAAAAUACUUAUCGAGUUUACAGUUCUGUAAAACUUUAACCGUAACUCCAAAUCCUCUUCUGCUUGCGUCUACGAGCCCGUAUUGUCGAGUACUUUAGGAAUACGCUAAAAGAAUUCCGUACGUCUCACUAUACGUUGGUCAAUGGAAGUAAAAAACCCUUCACCUCUAGGGCAUUUUCGUAAAAUCACGCUUUUAAAAUUUAUAAAAUAAUAAAAUUUGGAACGGGUUGUCACAUGUUUCUUUUAAAAUGAACCACUUGUUAUAUGUAAAAUGUACCCAUUUUUUAAUAGAAAAUAAUAUAUAUAUAUUUUUAUUAUUUUUUUAAAUCUAAAAUGUAUUCAUUGUUGUUUAUAUAAAAUGUACACGUUGUUUUCUACAUAAAGUGCACCCAUUGUUUUUUUUUUUAUAUAUAUAAAACGUACCCAUUUUUUUGUAUAACAUAUACGAAUUAUUUUUGUAUAAAAUGUACCCACAUUUUUUAAAUUUAUAAUUAUGCACACCAUUGUCGUCAUAUAAUUAUGAGGGUACAUUCUUCUUAAACAUUUUUAUGGGUUCUAUAUUAAAACAUUUUUCUUUUGGAACAAUGUUGAAAUUGUACUCAUAGAUAAUUAUAUAUAGUGAAUGUACUGGUACAUUCUUUUGACAUAUGACAACUAUUUUAUCAUUCGUAACAAUGUUUUAUUUUGGUCAAAUUCAUAACAAUGUUGGAUAACGUUCUUUUGGCACUUUUUUUUACAUUGUUUCCAAUUGAUUAAUUGAUAUAUAUAUAUAAAUGCGUACUUGUACUUGCCAUUUAUUAAUAUACAUUUUCAAAAGGAAUUACAUUGUUAUUUGAUUUUUAUUCAAUCAAAAUUUUGAAAAAUUUUCCAUUUUUUAUUUUUUAUUUUUUGGAAAUUUUCCAUAUUUUUUUGUUGACCCUUUUUUUUAUUAUAGCUCAUUAGAUGUCAGAUUUUAAAUAUCCUAAAAUCUCAAGCUUUAUUGCUGACAUGGAAAUAUAUUAAUACUAAAAUACUAAGGUGUACAAAGUCAAAGGACUUUGAUAAAAAAAAUUGAAAACCACUAAGGUUUUAUGCAAUGAGUAUUAGUGGUUAUAAACGCAUUCAAAGUCUUCUGUACACAUAUUUACUGAGAUGGAAAUUAGGUUGUAGAUGCAUUAUCUUUAUUUUGGGGCCCAUAGUCAUGUUUAUCACUGGUGGUCUAUAGUCCUAGAUUUUGUAGUUUCUUACUCAUACUUGUGACAUCUUGUUUUGUCCUUAUUAUUUGUUUCUGUCGAUAGUUUUGUCUUUGCGGUCUUGCACAGUCCCUUGCUUGUAUCUUUUUCCUUUACUUUUAUAUUAUUAAUAAUAAAAAUGGUGGAGGAUGUAUGAACGGAGGGCAAUUGGGUUAAUUAAUGGCCCUCACCCAUUCGGAAAGGAUAGGUAUAUCGUAUGCGAUCAUUGUUGAAGAGCUCCCUCGCUUAAUUUUUCUCCAUUUAAUAUAAUAUAUAUCUGUGUGUGUGUGUGUGAUGAAUUGGGCCUAAAAUUUAGAACGAGAAUUGUUAGCUAGUGUGAAAAAAUGAUUUAUGCACACUCAUAUGUUUAGAGCAAGUCCAUCCCUAAGGACUUUGU